rnacentral:rRNA from 1 species
UACGAAGGGGGCUAGCGUUGUUCGGAAUUACUGGGCGUAAAGCGCACGUAGGCGGAUCGAUCAGUCAGGGGUGAAAUCCCAGAGCUCAACUCUGGAACUGCCUUUGAUACUGUCGAUCUGGAGUAUGGAAGAGGUGAGUGGAAUUCCGAGUGUAGAGGUGAAAUUCGUAGAUAUUCGGAAGAACACCAGAGGCGAAGGCAGCGAAUUGGCCCUAUAUUGACGCUCAGGCACGAAAGCAUGGGGAUCAAACAGG